ensembl:lncRNA
AUGAAGCCCCGUUCUGGCCGGGAGCGCAUGCAAAUAGUUUACGUGAACAGCUUCGGCACCCACCGCUGCGGCUCCGUGAUCCAAUAUGGCGGCGGCCACAGGCGCCGUGAGGAGAAGGCCGCCACUUCCGGUGUCGUUGACAGAGAUAUGUCUUCUACUUCCGCUUUGAGCCGGAGACGGGGGGUGCUGAGGGGCGAGGCGGGUGCGGUUCCCAGGGAAGGUGGCGGAAGCCCCUGGUUCCCAAUCCCGCCUGGCACCGGUCCGGGAAGAGCUGCGUCGUGUGCUGCCGCCCAGGGACCAAGCCAGGGUGCCCAGGCAGGGGGAGCCCCCAGUCUCCGGGAGAGCGGGCCGGGGCUGCGGGGCACACAGAGCAGAGCCGGCGGCUGCGCGCAGGCACCUGGCAGCCCUGCCCUCGCACCCCGCGCCAGCCAGCGAUACGGUGGGCUUCAAAUGAAUCAGGCUGAUAACUUUGGAUUCCCUUUCACUUCUAAAGUUGUUAAUAAAGUAAUAAAACGGAAAAAGGAAAAGUCUGAAGUCUUUCGUGGAGUGUUGAAAGUAAUUUCAAAAAUGCUUGAAGAAAAUGAAAAAUUUAGAGGCAGACUGUUGACUUGCCGUCAGUUUAAUACUGAAGGCAGUAAUAUGAACCAAAGCUCACAGAAUGAGGCUUCCUGCAUGGACGGAGAUGAGUCCAUCUUUGGAUGGGUGUAGCAAAGAAGUAAAUGAAGAUUCAGUUUCAAGUGUUGCAUUGAAUUAGUGUUCAUUUUAGAUCUGAUCUAACAUCCAUCUGACAUUAAUGAAAAGACUGACAAUGAUUUCAGUGAGUGUUGGAUCAGAGUAUAUAGUUUGUCUAGUAUUUUAGCUAGGAGAGCUACAUUUUAAUAUGGGUUCAGUUAAACUUUUCAGUUACAGAGUAUUGUUUUGUUGAAAUCCUUAUUAAGCAUAAUAUAUCACUUAGUCAUUGUUCAUUUUUGCAGGCUUUUUAAUGAACAUUAGUGUGAUGGUUUGCAUUCAAAAGAAUAGUAAUAUUUUAUGUUAAUUAUAUUAUGAAUAUAUAUAUAUAUUGCAUAAUCAACAGCUUGUCAGAAUUGUUAACAAACGUGUUUAGUAAAAUAAAAUUUCAUACAUGAUAUCUGUCUAAAAUGAAUGAACCACUUGCAUUCUAUUGAUUUAAAUAUUUUUAUGAUAUUAUAUUAAAAUAACAUACAAUCACCCUUCUUUUCAUUCAUCCAUUAAUACACGAACCUCAGCAAUUAUUUCAAAUAAGAAUCCAGGUGAAUCCUCUCAGCCUCAUCAUUCAUCAUCAACCACAUAAAUGUAUUGUUUAUCUGGGUGUCCUUAAUUGUAACAUGAGGUGAUUUUCCUGUGUUAUAGAACCUUAAACUUGGAGUUUUGAUUGACUAGUGAAGCCUUUUUAAUUGGUGAAUUGUGUAAAUGGAACAAGGAGAUUGCAAAAAUAAUUUUUCUGUAUAUGUAUUUCCUCUCUAUAGAUAAAACAUUUAUCUGUUGUUCUUAGACCUUUCUUGUUCUUAUGAAAGAACAGUUUUUCAUUUCAAAAUGUCUCAGCAUUUGCAGAUAUAAUGACUAGAAUUUCAGCAGCACUGAGCUUAAUAGCAUGCUAGUGGUUGUAUCAUCAAGCAGCAAAGCACUUGGGAGGGUUUAAGCUCAGUUUUCCUAAUGAUAAACUGCAAGUAAAUAACUAGACUGUAUCUUUUUGAUUGAGUACUCUGGCAUUAAAGUUCUCAUUAUGAACAGUGAUUUCUUGUAGAAAAAUAUUUUAAUGUUACUCAAAAUAGUUGACAUUUCAGCUUGGGGAAAGAAAAAUAUUCAGAUGAGCACAUCAUCAUUUUUUCAGGAAGAGUAAAAGUUUGUAAGUCCUUUGAUAUUUGCUAAUUACGCAUUGGUGUUGUAGCUGUGUCGAUCCCAGGAUAUUAGAGAGAGACAAGGUUGGUGAGGUAAUACCUUUUAUUGGACCAACUUCUGUUGGUGACUGAGGCAAGCUUUUGAGCUUACACGGAGCUUGAAAGCUUUCCUCUCUCACCAGCAGAAGUUGGUCCAAUAAAAUAUAUUACCUUACCCAUCUUGUCUCUCUAUUUGCUUAAUAAACAGGUAGGGUCAGAAUUUUUUUUUAUUGUUUAUGAGUUGGUCAUUCUAUUUCUGCAGUUCACAAUGUAGAACUGAUAAAUGAAAUUAUUUUUAAUUCACUUUAUUAAUGUAACUUCUGUUCACCAUUCACUACACUUGCCUACACUGUAACUUCUGUUCCAUAUUGUAAUUCAAACCCCAUUUUAAAACACUCACUCCAUUUUGUAAAAGCUUCCUCCAACCUUCAUUUUUGCAAACCCUGCUGUAAUCUUAUUAGUUUAGUUUAGAUGUGUGAAUGAGGUAUGUAUGGAUGCCGGAAUCAACCUCCAGCCCCAGCCUGUCCUGAUGAGAUAAAGUUCAAAUACCAACGGCUGAAGACCUAGACAACAGCCCUAAACAAAGUAAGAAGCAUCCACCCUAAAAAGAAAAGGACACAGAACAACAGAAGGAAGAUCAAAGCCAGGUUCAAGGCUGAAAGUCACGCCUGCGAUUGAUGGGUGAUCAGUCUAAACCCAGAGGCAGCAUGACACAGCAAGACCUAUAGACUUUGAAUCCAAACUAAAAGCCUAUAAAAAAGAAGGGUGAGAUGAAAGACUCUGGGUAACAUUCUGUUGCCAACAUGGAAGGACAUCAGUGCCUGCCCAACAGAGAUCCAGCUUGUCCUUGUGCCUGGCUUUCCUGGCCAGUUAGCCGCCACAAGCUACGAACCCAAGCUACAAAAUCAAGCUAUGAACUUAAGCUAUCUUGAGGACUGGAACUAUGCAGCAGCUGCAGAACAUCUGAUGGGUGUGUGUGUGUGUGUGUGUGUGUGUGUAUGUGUGUGUGUGUGUGUGUGUGUGUGUGUGUGUGUGUGUGUGUGUGUGUGUGUAGGUAUUAGGUAUAAUGUGUGUAUGUAAGAAGAUAUUAGUUAUUAGUCAUAAAUCAAAUUAUCAUAAUAAAUGUGGCAUCUUUGUCUUGUCCCCUUUAAUAAGAUCCUGCUGGUUUUUCUGGUCUAAUAUAAUUGGUAUAACAUUUUGGUGGAGAAUAGCGAAAGGGGGAUUAUUGGUAUUUUUGCCUCACUUAUUGUAAACCAAUCUGUGUGCACACAACCGGCUCUACAGAACCAAAACCUGCUGGCCUCCGAAGAGGUAGUAGAAAACUUAAAAUUGUUAACAAAACCUGCUGGCCUCCAGAUAGGUAGCAGGAAAAGAAAGAAAAAUCAGGGGCAGCAAGAGGGUCCCAGGGGCCAGCAGUGCUGCUUGCUGAACAAAAUUAAAAAUGUUUAAGAAAAGGCAAGGGAAAACAGUCUCAGAGGGAGGAAUGGAGUCAAAAGUAGCUUCUACCUCACUUUUUAUUAAAGAGAUAAUGCCGUCUAAACAAAUCCUUCAGAGAUAUGGGCACAGUCCUUAGACUGAACAAGCCCUUGCAGAUAUCUGCACCAUUUCAGACCUAGAGGAUAGGUUGGCCCUGUCAUAAACAGAUAGCUAAGGGUUAAUGUUCUUUUACCUGUAAAGGGGUAACACCAGUAACCUGAAACACCUGACCAGAGGACCAAUCAGGAAACAAGACUCUUUCAAAUCUGGGUGGAGGGAAGUUUGUGUGUGAGUUCUUUGUUCUUUGUCUUGUGUCUGACCCUCUCGGCUCUGAGAGUGAUCUUUCUGUCUCCUGGCUUUCUAAUCUUCUGUUUCCAAGUUGUAAGUACAAAGAUAGGAAGACCACAGGUUUAUAUUGUUUUCUUUUAUAUUUACAUGGGUGUAGUUGCUGGAAUGUGUUAAAUUGUAUUCUUUUUGAAUAAGGCUGUUUAUUCAUUUUUUUCUUUUAAGCAAAUGACCUGUAUUUGUCACAGAGAGACCAUUUUUAUGUCCUUUUCUUUCUUUUUUAUAUAAAGCUUUCUUUUUAAGACCUGUUGAAGUUUUUCUUUAGUGGGGACUCCAGGAAAUUGAGUCUGCAGCUCACCAGGGAAUUGGUGGAAGGAAGAAGUCAGGGCAAAAAUCUCUUGGUGUUAGAUUUACUAAGCCUGACUUUGCAUACCCUGUGGGUGAGGGGGGGUGUCAUAAACAGAUAGC